rnacentral:rRNA from 1 species
UACGGGGGAUGCAAGCGUUAUCCGGAUUUAUUGGGUUUAAAGGGUGCGUAGGCUGUUGUGUAAGUUGGGGGUGAAAUCCCACGGCUCAACCGUGGAACAGCCCUUGAUACUGCGCGACUUGAAUCCGGGAGAGGGUGGCGGAAUUCCAGGUGUAGGAGUGAAAUCCGUAGAUAUCUGGAGGAACAUCAGUGGCGAAGGCGGCCACCUGGACCGGUAUUGACGCUGAGGCGCGAAAGCGUGGGGAGCAAACAGG